rnacentral:lncRNA from 1 species
GCCACAAUAUGCCUUAAUCCUCUCUCUCUCUCUGAUCUAGGGCCACCCUUCACCUCACCUUCUCUAUCACAGAUCCAUGGCGACGACGACGACAAGCGGCUUCUCUAGCGGCGGUCUGCUCCUUCUCCUGAUCUCUCCCAUGGCGCGGUGACGGUGGAUUGGGUCAAUGGGGGCAGGUGCAGGCAACAUGAUCCAGAAGAUGGCUGGAUUCGACGAGCAGCUUCUAGAUCCAGCUAGCGGGCACAGUGGCAGUGUAGAUCUGACGUGCGAGCACACCGAUGGUGCAGAUUCGGCUAGCAGUGCCUGGGCUCGGUGGGCUUUUUUUUGUUUUUUCUGAUCAAUUAACCGAGGCAGGUGUUAUAAAGUGGCCACCUCCGUUAAAAUAUUAGUGAAGGCGAACAGUUAUAGUGCCCCACCUCCACUAAUCGUAUUAAUGGAGACGAUCGCUUUAUAGUACCCACCUCCGUUAAUACGAUUAAUGAAGACGGAUAGUGUGACCGCCUCAGUUAUCUAUCAAUUAACCGAGGCUUUUUAGGCCAGUCUCAAUGCAUAGUUUCAUGGCACAGUUAUCAAGAUUAUAAACUAGGUAACCGAGCUACAUGAGUUUCAUGG